rnacentral:rRNA from 1 species
UACAAGUACCCGUGAGGGAAAGUUGAAAAGUACUUUGAAGAGAGAGUUCAAGAGGACGUGAAACCGGUAGGAUGGAAACGGAUAGAGCCAACGAACAAGUUCGUAUUCAGCUAGUCGACGGCGUGCGGCAUGCUUGUACACUUGUAAAAGUGCAUGGGUGUGUGCGGCUAUGCUUGUCGGCUAGUGCAUUUGCGGGCGAUGUGCGCCGAGACGUGUGAUAGUGUUCGGCCAAUCGUUUAGUAGAGGCUUUGUCUUCGGAUUUGGAACCUACUGGCGACGAGUCGGAUUGACGUUGCACGUAGAUUGGUUAGGUUCAGACGCACGAAAGUGUCGUCGGGCUAGUCGAUUGGCCGGUCGCAUGCGACUUGGUCUUUUUGGUCUAGUCUUGGCUGCAUUGGAGUGCCCUGGCCGUUUCUCGGUGUAAAAGUUGGUCAUCUCUCCGACCCGUCUUGAAACACGGACCAAGGAGUCUAGCGUAUGCGCGAGUCAUUGGGUAACAAAACCCAUAGGCGAAAUAAAAGUGAAGGUCUCUUUCCGAGGCUCAUAUGCGAUCCGUUGCACUACGGUGUACGCGGAGCAGCAUAGCCCCAUCUUAAAUGCUUGCAUUGGGGUGGAGGUAGAGCGUAUUCGCUGGUACCCGAAAGAUGGUGAACUAUGCCUGAGCAGGAUGAAGCCAGAGGAAACUCUGGUGGAGGUCCGAAACGCUUCUGAGGUGCAAAUC